AAGAAACCGUUAAGGACAAGCAUUUCAUAGACUGUUUGUACACCCAAGGGAUGGGAUCUCUAGCAUUUUAACUGUGGCGUUUUCAUGGCUACUACUUCAUCAUCUAUAUUAUCUUCUCAGCCUGCCUGGGAAGCCUCACCUCCCACUCUUCCACAACAGAAUUCCCCUGCCCCAGCUGCUCUCUACAGUGUCUCCAGAAUGUGUCUCGCAUUCUAUUUACCUUAGCUCAUUUCUCAUCUCCUCUAGAAAUUCAAUUCAACAAGUUUUUGAAAAGUGUCCAUUCAAUACUUAAUAUACUAGGCUCCAUGCUAAGCCCUAGGGAUACAAAGAGAAAAAAAAAGCCAGCCCCUACCCUCCAGGAGCUUACAUUUUACUGAGAAUAAGUCACCAGUAAGCAGAUAAGAAAAUACAACGUGUCUACCAAGUAAUCUUAGGAGAAUGGUGGGGAAGGGGCACUAAAACUAGAGGUGGGUUGAGAUGAAGAAAUGCCUCUAGUAGAAGGUGGCCUUUGAGCUAAGCUUUGAGCAAGGCUAGGGAUUUGGGGAUGGAAAUUUGAGGAGGGAGUGAAGUUCAAGAAGGGAGGCUUUCUGGGCAAAGGCACAAAGGAAAACAGAUGUGACGUCCUGCAUGGAGAACAUCGACUAAGUCAAUUCAUCUAGAAUCUAGAGUGUGAGAGGGAAAGUAACAUGAACUCAAUCUGGAAAGCUAGACUGGAACCAGAUCACAAUGGGCGCUGAAUGCCAGGAGAAUUUUUAUUUUACCCCAGAGCCAACAGAGAGCCAGUGAAGAAUCUUGAGUAGAGAAGAGAUUUGGUCCAUCCAUUUGGCAGCUAUGGGGAUUGGAGAAGCUGGAUGCAAGGAGACCGAGCUGGAGUGUGUUGUGGGAGUCCAGGUUAAACAUUCCCCAUUACUUCAACAAGACUAGGGCUCCUGAUCCAGAGGGCUCGAAAGGGAAAACUGGACAUACUUCAGGUCCACAUCCAGCCAUCCCUGUUAGCUGGCCUAUUAAUGGAACCUCUCUUGUAACGGGCAUGUCUACAUAUCAACCACAGGACAAGAACCAAUGUUCCUAAGUCUCCUUGUCAAGAUCCUGCCUGAUGCUAUCUGAAGCCUAGUAGAUGGCUAGGUAGGCAGACAGUUGGGUUUAAGGCAGCUAGGGGGUGCUGUGGAUAGAGCACAUAUUAUUUAUAUUAAAAUAAAAAGCUUUUGUU